rnacentral:rRNA from 1 species
GUGCCAGCAGCCGCGGUAAUUCCAGCUCCAAUAGCGUAUAUUAAAGUUGUUGUGGUUAAAAAGCUCGUAGUUGAACCUUGGGCCUGGCUGGCCGGUCCGCCUCACCGCGUGCACUGGUCCGGCCGGGCCUUUCCCUCUGUGGAACCCCAUACCCUUCACUGGGCGUGGCGGGGAAACAGGACAUUUACUUCGAAAAGAUUAGAGUGCUCCAGGCAGGCCUAUGCUCGAAUACAUUAGCAUGGAAUAAUAAAAUAGGACGCGCGGUUCUAUUUUGUUGGUCUAUAGGACCGCCGUAAUGAUUAAUAGGGACAGUCGGGGGCAUCAGUAUUCAACUGUCAGAGGUGAAAUUCUUGGAUCAGUUGAAGACUAACUACUGCGAAAGCAUUUGCCAAGGAUGUUUUCAUUAAUCAGGAACGAAAGUUAGGGGAUCGAAGACGAUCAGAUACCGUCGUAGUCUUAACCAUAAACUAUGCCGACUAGGGAUCGGACGGUGUUAUUCAUGACCCGUUCGGCACCUUACGAGAAAUCAAAGUGCUUGGGCUCCAGGGGGAGUAUGGUCGCAAGGCUGAAACUUAAAGAAAUUGACGGAAGGGCACCACCAGGGGUGGAGCCUGCGGCUUAAUUUGACUCAACACGGGGAAACUCACCAGGUCCAGACACAAUAAGGAUUGACAGAUUGAGAGCUCUUUUCUUGAUUUUGUGGUGGUGAUGCAUGGCCGUUCUUAGUUGGUGGGGUGACUUGUCUGCUUAAUUGCGAUAACGAACGAGACCUUAACCUGCUAAAUAGCCCGCAUUGCUCCGGCAGUGCGCUGCAUCUAGAGGGACUUCGCUCAGCGAAGGAGGUUGAGCAUAACAGGUUGGAUGCCUAGAUGUCUGGACGACGGGGCUAACUGACGGGUUCAGCGGAUUU